UUGUUGUGCAGCAAACACAACAUACAAUUACAUACCUGAAUACCCCGGAAGUACGAGUCAGAAGCAGCAAAUGUUUGACGGGAAUAGCCUUAUAAACAGCCGAUAACCUGAGUUCAGAAACAUCAUGGGUAUCUGUGGAUCGUCGCCAUUUCCUGAUUCUUCGGAAUGGAAACCCACCCUUAAGACGGGCGAUUCCACGACAAAGAGUCUGAGCGAGCGAGCAUCAGAGCGAGCAUCAGAGCGAGCAUCAGAGCUUAGAGCUCAGAGUCAGAAGAAAGCUGACAAGGUGGAAUCCAUGGAGUAUGACGCUGAUGGGAGAAAGAAGGAAGGGGCGAAAACAUUUGUUUCCAAAACCCUUUUGAGUAAAUUUUCAGACUAACAGCACACACAACGAACUGACACUAAGAUUUUCGUGAUGUUCGAGUAUUUACAAAGUAAGAUAGCACUCUAAAUAUUCAGUGGUCUUCUAGCUAUUUUCAUGUGUCUUAAAAUACUUUAGCUGUUACAAAGGCCAGAAUAUAUUUUAAAGGUUGGUGGAUUUUUUAACCCCAAAAUAUCUUUUUGGGAUUUCCUGAAAAUGAGGGCUGCAGGAAUAGAGAAGGAAACAAUUUCAGAUUACCUCUUUCCGUAACAGGGCGGUCGGGUAGCCAAGUGGUUAAAGCGCUCGCUCGUCACAUCGAAGAACCGGGUUCGAUUCUCGACAUGGGUAUAAUGUGUGAAGCCCAUUUCUGGUGUCCCGCCGCCGUGAUAUUGCUGGAAUAUAGCUUAAACCAUACUCACUCACUCUUUCCGUAAUAGACACAUAUGUCUCGCGAUUUGACAUAAUUCGUCAUGUUUUGCAUUUAUUUACAACCAUAGAAACAGUAAAUGAAGUUUCUAAAAUUUAUUUCUGCCCAACAGAAUACAAACUACACUGCUUUUGAUUUUUCUUUGUCACAUAUAAAAGUUUAGGAGUCGGAAAACUCGUAACCCAAGUGUGAAAAAAGUCUUGCCUAAAAGUUAACAAACAUGGUAUCAUCUCUGUGCACAGAGAGUAUAUUGCACGCAUUUUGAAGAUUGUUUUGUGUCUGGCAUCAUCUGUAAAUAAAUCUGUACCACGUGACGGUGAUUGCA